AUUGAACGCUGGCGGCAGGCCUAACACAUGCAAGUCGAGCGGCGCGGCGGCCGGGGGAGUAAUGCCUAGGAAUCUGCCUGGUCGUGGUGGAUAACGUCAGGAAACGGGCGCUAAUACCGCAUCCUCUCAGAUGCGGCUAGGUCGGAUUAGCUAUUUGGUGGGGUAAAGGCCUACCAAGGCGACGAUCCGUAACUGGUCUGAGAGGAUGAUCAGGCACACUGGAACUGAGACACGGUCCAGACUCCUACGGGAGGCAGCAGUGGGGAAUAUUGGACAAUGGGCGAAAGCCUGAUCCAGCCAUGCCGCGUGUGUGAAGAAGGUCUUCGGAUUGUAAAGCACUUUAAGUUGGGAGGCGUUACCAACAGAAUAAGCACCGGCUAACUCCGUGCCAGCAGCCGCGGUAAUAC
rnacentral:rRNA from 1 species